rnacentral:rRNA from 1 species
UUGUCCUUAGUUACCAGCACGUUAUGGUGGGCACUCUAAGGAGACUGCCGGUGACAAACCGAGGAAGGUGGGGAUGACGUCAAGUCAUCAUGGCCCUUACGGCCUGGGCUACACACGUGCUACAAUGGUCGGUACAAAGGGUUGCCAAGCCGCGAGGUGGAGCUAAUCCCAUAAAAACCGAUCGUAGUCCGGAUCGCAGUCUGCAACUCGACUGCGUGAAGUCGGAAUCGCUAGUAAUCGUGAAUCAGAAUGUCACGGUGAAUACGUUCCCGGGCCUU